rnacentral:rRNA from 1 species
UACGAACUGUGCGAACGUUAUUCGGAAUCACUGGGCUUACAGGGUGCGUAGGCGGCUAUUCAGGUCAGGUGUGAAAGCCCCCGGCUCAACCGGGGAACUGCGCUUGAAACCGAGUGGCUCGAGUCAGCUAGAGGUACACGGAACUUCCAGUGGAGCGGUGAAAUGUGUUGAUAUUGGAAGGAACACCGGAGGCGAAAGCGGUGUACUGGGGCUGGUCUGACGCUGAGGCACGAAAGCCAGGGGAGCGAACAGG